rnacentral:rRNA from 1 species
AACGAACGCUGGCGGCAUGCCUUACACAUGCAAGUCGAACGGCAGCACGGGAGCAAUCCUGGUGGCGAGUGGCGAACGGGUGAGUAAUAUAUCGGAACGUGCCCAGUCGUGGGGGAUAACGCAGCGAAAGCUGUGCUAAUACCGCAUACGAUCUACGGAUGAAAGCGGGGGAUCGCAAGACCUCGCGCGAUUGGAGCGGCCGAUAUCAGAUUAGCUAGUUGGUGGGGUAAAGGCCCACCAAGGCGACGAUCUGUAGCUGGUCUGAGAGGACGAGCAGCCACACUGGAACUGAGACACGGUCCAGACUCCUACGGGAGGCAGCAGUGGGGAAUUUUGGACAAUGGGCGCAAGCCUGAUCCAGCAAUGCCGCGUGCAGGAUGAAGGCCUUCGGGUUGUAAACUGCUUUUGUACGGAACGAAACGGCCCUUUCUAAUACAAGGGGCUAAUGACGGUACCGUAAGAAUAAGCACCGGCUAACUACGUGCCAGCCGCCGCCGUAA